rnacentral:rRNA from 1 species
UACGAAGGGGGCUAGCGUUGCUCGGAAUUACUGGGCGUAAAGGGCGCGUAGGCGGUUAGUUUAGUCAGAGGUGAAAGCCCAGGGCUCGACCUUGGAAUUGCCUUUGAUACUGGCUAUCUUGAGUUCGGGAGAGGUGAGUGGAAUGCCGAGUGUAGAGGUGAAAUUCGUAGAUAUUCGGCGGAACACCAGUGGCGAAGGCGACUCACUGGCCCGAUACUGACGCUGAGGCGCGAAAGCGUGGGGAGCAAACAGG